UACGAGUUUGAUCAUGGCUCAGGAUGAACGCUAGCGGCAGGCUUAAUACAUGCAAGUCAAGGGGGUAGCAAUACAACCGGCGCACGGGUGAGUAACGCGUACACAACAUACCAUAUACUGGAGUAUAGCUUUGGGAAACUGAAGGUAAUCCUCCAUAACAUUGCGAGAGGGCAUCUGAUUGCAAUUAAAGUUUCGGCGGUAUAUGAUUGGUGUGCGUUUGAUUAGCUAGUUGGUAGGGUAACGGCCUACCAAGGCGACGAUCAAUAGCUGGCGUGAGAGCGCGACCAGCCACACUGGAACUGAGACACGGUCCAGACUCCUACGGGAGGCAGCAGUAGGGAAUAUUGGACAAUGGAGGAAACUCUGAUCCAGCCAUGCCGCGUGAUAGAUGAAGGCCCUCUGGGUUGUAAAUAUCUUUUAUCUGGGAAGAAACACUCCUAUUCUUAGGAACUUGACGGUACCAGAGGAAUAAGCACCGGCUAACUCCGUG
rnacentral:rRNA from 1 species